UACAGAGGUCCCAAGCGUUGUUCGGAUUCACUGGGCGUAAAGGGUGCGUAGGCGGUCGGGUAAGUCUGACGUGAAAUCUUCAAGCUUAACUUGGAAACUGCGUCGGAUACUAUUCGGCUCGAGGAAUGGAGGGGAGACUGGAAUACUUGGUGUAGCAGUGAAAUGCGUAGAUAUCAAGUGGAACACCAGUGGCGAAGGCGAGUCUCUGGACAUUUCCUGACGCUGAGGCACGAAAGUCAGGGGAGCAAACGGG
rnacentral:rRNA from 1 species